UACGUAGGGUGCAAGCGUUAUCCGGAAUUAUUGGGCGUAAAGAGCGCGUAGGCGGUUUGUCGCGUCUGCUGUGAAAACUGGAGGCUCAACCUCCAGCCUGCAGUGGGUACGGGCAGACUAGAGUGCGGUAGGGGAGAUUGGAAUUCCUGGUGUAGCGGUGGAAUGCGCAGAUAUCAGGAGGAACACCGAUGGCGAAGGCAGAUCUCUGGGCCGUAACUGACGCUGAGGAGCGAAAGCAUGGGGAGCGAACAGG
rnacentral:rRNA from 1 species